AGAAUGGAACUGUACAUUUCUUGUCAUGUGAAGUAAUGACGUCAAUAUUUUGUGGCUUAACUCUAGAUGACCCAUUUCCAUUGCACUCUUUUCUAGAAGGGGUUGAUAUUGAGGAAUAUGACAUCAUAAUUGGAGCUUUGCAUGAAGCAGGAUGUCAUUGGUCUCUAAUGGUCAUCUUUCCAAAGAGACUUGAACUCAUUUACCUCAACCCUAUGGGUGAAUGUAGAGAAAUGAAAGACAUAUAUUUGCAAAAGUGGUUACAAUUUUUGAGUGACAGAUACAUAAAAGGAAUUGGUACCUACAUCAGUGAAGAAUGGACCAUCUCAUCGAGGCGACAUCAUAAACAGAUGGACUCAAACUCUUGUGGAGUUUUUGUA